rnacentral:rRNA from 1 species
GGGGGGUGCAAGCGUUAUUCGGAAUCAUUGGGCGUAAAGGGCGCGUAGGCGGUCUCUUAAGUCAGGUGUGAAAGCCUUCCGCUUAACGGAAGAAGUGCACUUGAAACUAAGGGACUUGAGUAUGGGAGAGGGAGGUGGAAUUCCUGGUGUAGCGGUGAAAUGCGUAGAUAUCAGGAGGAACACCGGUGGCGAAGGCGACUUCCUGGACCAAUACUGACGCUGAGGCGCGAAGGCGUGGGGAGCAAACAGGAUUAGAUACCCUGGUAGUCCACGCAGUAAACGGUGAACACUAGGUGUAGUGGGUAUUGACCCCCCCCGCUGUGCCGCAGUUAACGCAUUAAGUGUUCCGCCUGGGGAGUACGGCCGCAAGGCUA